rnacentral:rRNA from 1 species
GUAUGAAACUCAAAGGAAUUGACGGGGACCCGCACAAGCAGCGGAGCAUGUGGUUUAAUUCGAAGCAACGCGAAGAACCUUACCAGGACUUGACAUGCCAUUGACCACUUUAGAGAUAAAGUUUUAGCCUUCGGGUUACAAUGGACACAGGUGGUGCAUGGUUGUCGUCAGCUCGUGUCGUGAGAUGUUGGGUUAAGUCCCGCAACGAGCGCAACCCUUAUUUUUAGUUGCCAUCAUUAAGUUGGGCACUCUAGAGAGACUGCCGAUGACAAAUCGGAGGAAGGUGGGGAUGACGUCAAAUCAUCAUGCCCUUUAUGUCCUGGGCUACACACGUGCUACAAUGGUCGGUACAACGAGGAGCAAGCUAGCGAUAGUAAGCAAAUCUCUAAAAGCCGAUCCCAGUUCGGAUUGCAGGCUGCAACUCGCCUGCAUGAAGUCGGAGUUGCUAGUAAUCGCGUAUCAGAAUGUCGCGGUGAAUGCGUUCCCGGGUCUUGUACACACCGCCCGUCACACCACGGGAGUUGUCAAUACCCGAAGCCAGUGAGCUAACCAGUAAUGGAGGCAGCUGUCGAAGGUAGGGGCGAUGACUGGGGUGAAGUCGUAACAAGGUAACC